GAUGAAGAACGUAGCGAAAUGCGAUAAGUAGUGUGAAUUGCAGAAUUCAGUGAAUCAUCGAAUCUUUGAACGCACAUUGCGCCCCUUGGUAUUCCAUGGGGCAUGCCUGUUCGAGCAUCAUUUGUACCUUCAAGCUUUGCUUGGUGUUGGGUGUUUGUCUCGCCUUUGCGCGUAGACUCGCCUUAAAAUAAUUGGCAGCCGGCGUAUUGAUUUCGGAGCGCAGUACAUCUCGCGCUUUGCACUCAUAACGACAGCGUCCAAAAGUACAUUUUACACUCUUGACCUCGGAUCAGGUAGGGAUACCCGCUGAACUUAAGCAUAUCAAUAAGCGGAGGA
rnacentral:misc_RNA from 1 species